UACGUAGGGUGCGAGCGUUGUCCGGAAUUAUUGGGCGUAAAGAGCUUGUAGGCGGUUUGUCGCGUCUGCUGUGAAAUUUCGGGGCUCAACCCCGAACUUGCAGUGGGUACGGGCAGACUAGAGUGUGGUAGGGGAGACUGGAAUUCAUGGUGUAGCAGUGAAAUGCGUAGGAGAUCAUGAGAAAGACCAGUGGCGAAGGCGGGUCUCUGGACAGUUCCUGACACUGAGCACGAAGGCCAGGGGAGCAAACGGG
rnacentral:rRNA from 1 species